rnacentral:rRNA from 1 species
UACGUAGGGUGCAAGCGUUAAUCGGAAUUACUGGGCGUAAAGCGUGCGCAGGCGGUUAUGCAAGGCAGAUGUGAAAUCCCCGGGCUUAACCUGGGAACCGCAUUUGUGACUGCAUAGCUAGAGUGCGGCAGAGGGGGAUGGAAUUCCGCGUGUAGCAGUGAAAUGCGUAGAUAUGCGGAGGAACACCGAUGGCGAAGGCAAUCCCCUGGGCCUGCACUGACGCUCAUGCACGAAAGCGUGGGGAGCGAACAGG